ACAUGAUCACAAGGUGAAGUCCCACAAUAGGCCGUCUGAAAGCUGAGGAGCAAGGAAACCAGUCGGAGUCCCAAAACCUCAAAAGUAGGGAAGCCAACAAUGUAGUCUUCGGUGUGUGGUCAAAGGCCCAAGAGCUGCUGGCAAAUCACUGGUGUUAAGUCCAAGAGUCCAAAAGCUGAAGAACUUGCAGUCUGAUGUUCAGGGGAGGAAGCAUCCAGCACUGAAGAAAGAUGAUGAUUGGAAGACUCAGCAAGUCAGCUUUAUUCUACUGGAGCUGGCAAUUGAUUAGAUAGUCCCCACCCACAUUAGGGUGGGUCUUCCUCUCCCAGUCCACUGACUCAGAUGUUAAUCUCCUUUGGCAACACCCUCACAGACACACCCAGGAACAAUACUUUGCAUCCUUAAAUCUAAUCAAUCUGACAGUAUUAACCAUCAAAAACACGUUAAGAUGUCUUUUAUACUGCAGAGUGCAAACGCACAAGAAGCUUGGAAAUGCCAAUCUGGAGUAAAGUGUAAAACAAAGCAGCAAACAUAAAAAGCCGUGUUUACUCAUUUCUGCUUGCCAGCAUAAUUUCACAAUGCCUCUGGCUCUAUGAUGACAUAUAGGUCUCCAGAAAGAUGCUUUGAAGACAAAAUAGAAUACAGAACAUGGUCCCCUACGUCUCUUGCCUGAGCCACUACAUUCUUCAAAAGAUAAAUGACCUAGGCUGGACGCAGUGGCUCACGCCUGUAAUCCCAGCACUUUGGGAGGUCCAGGCAGGUGGAUCAUGAGGUCAGGAGAUCGAGAGCAGCCUGACCAACAUGGCAAAACCCCAUCUCUACUAAAAAUACAAAAAAUAACCGGGCGUGGUGGCGCACAUCUGUAAUCCCAGCUACUCAGGAGGCUGUGGCGGGAGAAUCGCGUGAACCUGGGAGGCGGAGGUUGCAGUGAGCCGAGAUUGCACCACUGCACUCCAGCCGAGGCGACAGAGCAAGACGCCAUCUCAAAAAAAAAAAAAAAAAAAAAAAAAAAGAAAAGAGAAAUGACCUUAGCCUUUUCCUUUUCUUACACAUAAGAUUAAUAAUGUCUGACAGGGUUAGUUAUUAUGCUUCUGUAAUCUAGAACUAAAUGUACUCUUACACCCAAACCACAAUGUGAUUCUACUUUAAUGUAACUUGUAAGCAGGUGCGAUGUGAUUUUGCAAGUACUGAACCUCCACCAUGGGUAUAUAAGAAGUGGGCUGAAAUACUGAUUGAAUCUGUCUAAAGGGCUGCUCCUGAGACUCAGGCUUCAGUCUCUUCUCCCCAGUAAGAUUAAUGAAUAAAAUUCACCUUAAUUCUGUAACUUGAUUUAUUUUCUGUAGUCAAUGUGAAUAUAGCCACAGGCAAGAAGUAUACGUUUAGAAAUCAUACAGGUUUAGAUUAUAUUUAAAAACAAUGAAGCGGGUUGGGAACACAAAAGAGUGUAUGUGGAAAGAUAAAGGAUUCAAGGACUCAGGCCUGGAACCCUUCAGUGUAAAGAGGUGAAAGAAUUGAGAUGAAACUAAGAAAGAGUCACUGAAAAUGGGUUUCUGGUGAAGGAGGACAGUGGUAUUUAUGAGGCAAGUGAAGCAAAUAUACAAAUGAGGAGAGACUAAUAAUGUGUGUUAAAUUCUGUGAUGAGAUGAAGAGGACUAAGACUUUACCAUUACAUAUUAAAAAGCAAGGAUCCUUGGUGAUAUUGACAAGAACGGCGUUAGUGAAGUGAUGCAUUGGUCAAAAGCCUAAACACAGUUGGUUCUGAUGAGAACUGAAGAAAAGCUAUUGUGAACAGCAAGUAAAGGAAACUCCUUUGGAAGAGCUUUCUGUAAGGGAUGUGAAUAAAUGGGUUAGUGAUUAGUAGGAAAAUUAAGUCCAGUGAAAGUGAUUUUAAGAUGGCUGAAAUAACGACAUUUUUGCCUACUGCUGAGAAACAGCAGUAGAGAGAGGGAGGUUGAAGCUGUCGCCAUAAAUAAAUGAAUCCGGAUCAGUGACCUUCAGGAAAUGAGAGUGUCUGUGAUCUAACCUCUGAGAAGAGGCAUAUGGACUGCCAAGCCAAAGCAGCAGAAAAGAAAGUAUAGAACAUGAGGACAACCGUGGGUAGAAGGGUAAAAGUGCUAAUGUGAGCUGAUAAGAAUUUCCUUCUUAUCAAAUCUAUUUUCAUUAUCAGAUAAGAAACAAAGUUGUUUGGCAGGAAUGAAGACAGACAAGGAGAUGUUGGAGGUUUAAAAAGAGAGCAGAAGGUCUUAAGUACAAUUGUGAAAUAUUCAUUUUUAUAUUCUAAGAACUCUUAAAUUGUAUUUGUAGUUGUGGCUUAAUGUAUUCUACAAAUUAAUUCAUAUCAAAAUAAUAGAUUUAUAUAUACUGUCCUAUAUAAUCAUUUGAUAAGAAAAUUGAUUGUUUAUCAUCACAGUGUUAGAGGCAAUAAAAAGAUCUUUUACUUUCUCAGCAGCUUUCUUUUUAAUCUGAUGUUAUGCUGGAGGCAAAGCAUUGCAUUGAUUUUCCCAAGCAAAUUGCUUAUACAAAACUCUGGUAGCAACUCUUCUGGCAGUCCUUAGAUCAAUGAUAACAAAUAAACAGUAUCUAUGUCUUUUUUGAAUUAUUUGUUUGCAAGCUAGAGAAAUAGGCUACCUUUAGCAAAAUAAGGUAAUUUAUUGGAAAGAUAAUGGGACAACCCACAGAAUCAAAGCAAAGGCUACAGAAAACAAUUCUUGAAAAGGACUGAAGCAAGAGAACUGCUGUAGUUUUAAUAAGUCAAUGGGCAGUCUCCUCAGACAACAAAGACAGGAUGGAUUAACCUAAACAAUGGCUCAACAUAUCUAUAUCUUUUACAGGGACUGUAAAAACAGUGAAACACUUGUUCGUUCUUCUUCUGCCAUUGAAGGCUACUGCUCUGUAACACCUCAUUAGCUCCAGGGUUGUGAAAAUUCAAAGCAAUAGAAGAUUGUUUUCAGUUUAAAGCUGGAAUUAAG
rnacentral:lncRNA from 1 species